CCCUUAGAUGUUCUGGGCCGCACGCGCGCUACACUGACGAAUGCAACGAGCUUAUAACCUUGGCCGAAAGGUCUGGGUAAUCUCCAAAUUUCGUCGUGAUGGGGAUAGAUUAUUGCAAUUAUUAAUCUUCAACGAGGAAUGCCUAGUAAGCGCAAGUCAUCAGCUUGCGUUGAUUACGUCCCUGCCCUUUGUACACACCGCCCGUCGCUCCUACCGAUUGAAUGGCCCGGUGAAGCGUUCGGACCGUGGCCUUUGGACGGUUCGCCGUCUGUUGGCUGCGGGAAGUUCGUUAAACCUUAUCAUUUAGAGGAAGGAGAANUCGUANCA
rnacentral:rRNA from 1 species